AUUGAACGCUGGCGGCAUGCCUUACACAUGCAAGUCGAACGGCAGCGGACCUUCGGGUGCCGGCGAGUGGCGAACGGGUGAGUAAUAUAUCGGAACGUACCUUUCAGUGGGGGAUAACGUAGCGAAAGUUACGCUAAUACCGCAUAUUCUGUGAGCAGGAAAGCAGGGGAUCGCAAGACCUUGCGCUGAUUGAGCGGCCGAUAUCAGAUUAGCUAGUUGGUGAGGUAAAGGCUCACCAAGGCGACGAUCUGUAGCGGGUCUGAGAGGAUGAUCCGCCACACUGGAACUGAGACACGGUCCAGACUCCUACGGGAGGCAGCAGUGGGGAAUAUUGGACAAUGGGCGCAAGCCUGAUCCAGCCAUGCCGCGUGAGUGAUGAAGGCCUUAGGGUUGUAAAGCUCUUUCACCGGAGAAGAUAAUGACGGUAUCCGGAGAAGAAGCCCCGGCUAACUUCGUGCCAGCAGCCGCGGU
rnacentral:rRNA from 1 species